AGAAUUUUAAGUUAUUUAAACUAAAAGCCUUCAAAGUUUUAAAAAAAAGUUCAAAUCUUUUAAAUUCUA
rnacentral:tRNA from 2 species